rnacentral:lncRNA from 10 species
GUCCAGUGGGCAGGCUGGUUAGAGUUCCUCUAGGGGCCCCCUCCCACCUGGCUGUCUCACUUACAACUUCCCUGUUCUGUAUGAUGUUGUCUAUGAGUUUGUCAUACAUGACUUGUAUUAUUUUGAGGCUCAGAAGUACAUAUUCAGGUUUGUUGUACAGUUCUGCCCCAUGCCACUCCCCACCACCAUGAGAAAACCAAGAGGACAGGCCUCACUAGGAAAAAAAAAAUUAGCCAGUACCUUGACCUUGGACUUCCCAGCCACCAGAACUCUCCCAGACUUCAUCCUGCUUCAGCUCCUGUCAUCCUGUGCUGUGGAAUUCCUAAACCUCUUAGCUUGAGCCCUGCAACGAUCUGAUUUUCACUCCGUUCUAGGAAGGUUCCAUUCUUCAGUGUGGAGCACAUAUAAGUAUGCAUCUAUAUUGGAGAAAUGAAUGCUAAACAAACGAGAUUGGAAAAGCAUUGGAAAAUUUGUCCAAAGUCACUCAACAGAUUCAUGAUGGAUCCUGGAUUCACAGCCAGCUUUACUUGGCAAUAAAAUUCAAGUCCUGUUCACAUCACAACACAUUUUUACCGAAAGAAAAAUAUGAUGUGUAGAUGUUUGGAGGCAUCCUAUCUUAAUGAGGCUUUUGUUAGAAAGAGUUUUCUUAAAAUUACAGGGUUGGGGAAAUAAAAAAUGUUUGUUGCUCAGAUUAACAAAAAAAUGGUAUAUAGAAAAUAAAGCUAAGAAAGGAAAGUGCAGACAACCAAGAGACUAGAAUUUUCAAUAAAUGGCAAAAUUGUGGUGUUCUGUGGUUACCUCUUGAAGAUUUGGCCUGAAUCAUGCAACAAUUGCCCCUUACCCUCAGUCCUCAAAUUACAAUAGUGAAAGAGGUUUCUAUAGGUAUUAUAUUUGAAUCUGCUAUAUUUUGUUUAUUACUUGCAAGGACAUAUAGGAGAGCAAAAGUUUUCCCUCUAAUUUCUUAGGUUUAGUAACUGGAACUUGUGAAUUAAACUGGCAAAAUACAGAUUAACAGGAGAAGAGUCAUAGACAUUUUAUUUUAAAUUUCAUAUGCAAUGUAGUUCCAGAGAAAAGAAGUGAAAGCCUGAAGAAGCAAUUAGACUUGAGGAGUUAUAUCUUUAACAAAGGGUGGUGAGUGUAGAGAAGUGACUAGAUUUUUUUUAAGAUGGUUUUAGGCUUCCAAGGGUGAUAAACCAUGGGAAGGAAAAUACAUGAGGGAAACUAAUGGUAUAUAGGAGUUAUUUAGUAAGGUUUGUUUACACAGACUAAUCUCAGUGGUAAGAACGGUUUUUCUCCUUUUUCUGGUCAGGGGAAGGAGAAGGGACACCAUCACAAUGGGAAUUUGUGCUUUGCUGGUAGACAAAUAGGAGCAGAGCAGAGAACUUCUUUCUCUCAAUUGUCUUCAGCUCAGAAUAAUCCUUAUGCCAAACAGGCAUAAUUUGGAAUUACAUAUUUUCAUCCUCUCCACACACAAGCUUCCGUAUAAAGUUCAAAGACAGUAGUAUUUUCUUAUAAUUCACUCUGCCCCAAAUAUUAACUAAGAUGACAUUCUUUUUCCAGCUUGAUUCUGCAACAUUCACUUCCAGAAACUUUAUCACUCUUAAUCCUGGAUUGAAGGAAAAUAUUUGAAUGUGAUAAAGGAUAUAUAUUUUAAAAAGAAAGGAACUAUAAUAAAAGGCAAGAUUCAGAAAUUAUGUUGUAAUCUGUGACUUAGUGCAAUUUAGUCCUUGAAUUUCUUGUGUGCAAUUUAUUGAAGCUAUCUUAUUAUAUGUUAAUUCUGUGUCUUCUUUGCCCUCUCUUUUUGUAAAAAUUUUCUUUUUCUGAAUUUUUUUCCAGAGUCAAUCAUUGAUCUUCUUGAUAACAUUCAUUUCCCUUGGUGAACUAACUUUGGUUCAUCGCUUUAUCAUUCUUCUCCAGGCUGUUUUUGAAGGGUCUGUGAGCUGAGAAUGGUUUUUAAUAGAUAAAUGCUCACAAUCAAUUUGGGGAUAAGAAAUAUUAUUUUGAAUCUCAGUUACAAAAAAUGUUAUCCUUCAUAAAAUAAUUCAUUUUUUUCUCAGUAAUAAAAAUGUAUUUCAAAAAUAUGGUGUCCUUAUUAUAUUUUAAAUUUUGCCAAUAAAAAUAAUAAAAAUUGAUUUUCUCUAAUUAUGUAAGUACCUAGAUGAUUUUUAAAAUUUUGUCUCUUGACUUAUACAAAGCCUAAAAUAUUUAUAACUGCC